rnacentral:rRNA from 1 species
CCUGAAAUGAAAAAGGUAAUAUUAUGUAAGAAACCUAUGCUCUUUGGCGGCCUUAUUCCUUAUUGGAGGAACUUGUCCAGUAAUCGAAAUUACUCGUUAAUUUUCUCUCUUUAAUUGUUUUUAUACCGUCGUCUUAAGGACAUUAUAAUAAUAACUGUCCUAGACUGAGUCCCCAGAUAAGUCAGAUCAAGGUGAAGCGUAUUUAAGAGGUUAGGGUGAGUUAUAUUUUAAACCUAUUAAGGGAUUUACUUUCAAAAAAUUAUCUGAAUUAAAAUUCAACAGUACUUAAAAAUUAAUAGCUUUUAAGGAAGAAGUAAAAAAAGGUGU